GAUGAACGCUGGCGGCGUGCUUAACACAUGCAAGUCGAACGAAGCACUUUUGAUUGAUUUCCUCGGAAAGAUUUCACUUGUGACUGAGUGGCGGACGGGUGAGUAACGCGUGGGUAACCUGCCCCAUACAGGGGGAUAACAGUUAGAAAUGACUGCUAAUACCGCAUAAGCGCACAGCAUCGCAUGAUGCAGUGUGAAAAACUCCGGUGGUAUGAGAUGGACCCGCGUCUGAUUAGCUAGUUGGUGGGGUAACGGCCUAACAAGGCGACGAUCAGUAGCCGACCUGAGAGGGUGACCGGCAACAUUGGGACUGAGACACGGCCCAAACUCCUACGGGAGGCAGCAGUGGGGAAUAUUGCACAAUGGGCGAAAGCCUGAUGCAGCGACGCCGCGUGAACGAAGAAGUAUUUCGGUAUGUAAAGUUCUAUCAGCAGGGAAGAUAAUGACGGUACCUGACUAAGAAGCACCGGCUAAAUACGUGCCAGCCGCCGCCGUAAAAC
rnacentral:rRNA from 1 species